CCGGGUGAUGGGCGGAUGGAGAGCCGGGUGAUGGAGGGGAGAGCCAGGUAACGGAGGGACGGAGAGCCGGGUGACGGGCGGACGGAGAGCCGGGUGAUGGACGGUCGGAGAGCCAGGUGAUGGAGGGCCCCGCUUGGGGCUCCCGCUCGGCCAGCUGCCCCUGAGCUGUCACAUCAGGAGGGGUCCUGCCUCCAGGCACAAAGCGAACCCGGUCUUAGUUUUCCAGUCUCCUUCUCUUGGCUAACUGAGGCAAGGGCUCAAGUUCCAAUCAGAUGUGAAGGCUUAGUUUCAAGGCGACUGGAAUUUCCUUCCUGGGCGGUAAGCUGCUCCCAGGAGGCCUGUGGGGGGCUCGAGCUGCUCAGCUGCUGGCCAAGGCCACCGCUUGCCCUCAGAUGCAGCGCAUGCGGGGCCUGAAGGCAGAGAGGGACACUGGCCUGGCUCCUUUCUGACUCACCAGCAGUGUCUGCCUUUUCUCGUUCACUUUGAAGGAAGAAGUGUCCCUGUCUCAAAUCUCCUCUACUACUUGGAAAUACACAGAGGGAGCCUUCUACCUUUGGGUGGUUCCCAGGGUACGCCCACUGUGGGUGUUUUGUUCCGAACACUUGGAAGUGUCGGAAGUAGCUCUUUUGUAAAUGAACUUGAAGACAGGAGCACCGAGUCCAGGGUGCAGGGUGGGUGUGUGUGUGUGCUGUGCUGAGUCGUGUCUGACUCUUUUGCGACCCCAUGGACUGUGGCCCGCCAGGCUCCUCUGUCCAUGGGAUUCUCCAGGCAAGAAUACCAGAGUUGGUUGCCAUUUCCUUCUCCAGGGGAUCUUCCCCACCCAGGGAUCGAACCUGCAUCUCCUGCAUCUCCUGCUUUGGCAGGUGAAUUCUUGACCGCUGCACCAGGAUGUAUUGUAAAGAAACAGAGCAGAGGAGGCAGAGGCUCCCGUGGGAAGCCAGCAUGGAGCGCGGAUGCAACUGAGUCAGCCUUCAUGUUUCCUACUCUAAGGAUGGUGCUUCAUCAGAAAAAAACAUCCCAAGAUGACAGUGUUUUUCUCACCAGGAUGUAUUGUAAGGAAACAGAGCAGAGGAGGCAGAGGCUCCCAUGGGAAGCCAGCAUGGAGCGGGGACGCAACUGAGUCAGCCUUCACGUUUCCUACUCUAAGGAUGGUGCUUCAUCAGAAAAAAACAUCCCAAUGUGACGGUGUUUUUCUCCGCUUAUCUCUAAUGCAUGUUUUAUGAGCCUCAAGUCGUGUCGUCUGAGGAACACAGGAGUAGAAACAGCGGCACAGAAAGUCCUGCUGUGUAUGCAAGUCUUAGAAAUCUGUUUUUCUGAACAAACAAGUCCGUUGAAAGAACAAAGUCUGAAAGUGAAUCAUAAACUCCUGUUUUGUUGGAGCCGAAGCUGUUUUUUAAAACAUCCCUGUUGGAUUGGGGGUCACAGAUGGGCAAUGGAGGACCAGAAAUUAACUAUAAAUUUCCAGGAAGGACACAGACCAGCUGACAAGUCUGUUCUGUUCUUUUUCUUUUUUUUCUUAAUCAAAGGCAAAGAUAACACAAAAUUUCCAACACAUUGAGAACAUUGUACCCUGGGUAAGCUUCAAAUAAACAACUUUUGUUAACUCUCACAUAAAUGAAUGUAGUAAGUGGAAACAACAUCCUUAAUAGGAAAGCUUUGUCAGAAGCCCAGAAUGAAUUUUCAAAGAAUUAAUGCAAGCAAUCUGGUAAAGACUUCUUUAAAAAAAAAUCCUGAAACAUUAUAAAUUCCUGAAAAUUAUGCAGCUGACCGAAAUCCUCUGAAUUGUAUUAUUUCUCUCCUGGAGGCAGGUAUUGCUCUUUCUAAUGGGAAAGCAAACUCUAGUAAAUGGAAAAAUCCAAGUACUUUACUUUGAGGCAUUAUAUUCAAAUAUUUUCUUUUUAGAACAUGAACAUAGAUACAAGGAAAGCUUUGGACAUUCUAAUGAAGGGUAUAGGCUACUUAGAUGGUAGAAAUACUUGUUUGGGAUACUUGAAAAUUACUUAAAAUCAAUCUUUGAUAAUAACGGUGAUCUGUGGAUUACACGUAACAAGUUCAGUUUUCCAUGUAUACACACAGAACACUCGGGAGACACUUGUCCGUUUGUGAAAACUGGCAGACUUUGAAAAUAUCCAAGAGGGCGCAUCCAAACAAAAAAAAAAAGAGCAAAAAUACGAAGCUUUGGGCAAUUUCCUUCAAAAACAAAAGUAAAAUUUUCUUGAGUUUUAAAAUAAGUAGAUUUAUCAUUUAAGUUCCCCACUUUUGGAUGACACAUAAAAAUCACCAUAACUUAAAUAGUUUUGGAAAUCCCUGAAUUAAACUCUGUUCACUUCCAUUUGCCUCAGACGUCAAAACUGACCUAUAUUUGACUAGAUGGAACGAAUAGAAAUACACAGAAGAAUGAAUUGUCUUCUUUAAGCAUUGGGACAUUUUUAAAAAAGUAAUUACAAAAGGCUUGAUCAAGGCGGCCAUAAUUAAAGGUCAAGAACAGGAAAAUGCAAUCUUAGUCCCGAACACGCUGACUUUUCACACUUAUUUUCCUCGUGUCUCAUUCUGUCAUAAUCUAUGCAUGUGAAUACAGCCAGAUGAUGACUUCUGUUUCAUCCUCCAGAGUGCCCAUGAGAUUCUGGGCAGCAGGUGGGCAUGGCCAGGGCCCUCGAGACCACCGGCCGCCUGCCCCAGCCCGCCUUGCACGGGGCUGGCCUUCGGGCACACGGCGCCUCUGCACAGCCUGCCAGGGUGUGGCACGGAUGUGAUCUUGUUUACAGGGCAAUGGUCCUUCUGCUGACACUCUGCCAGGAAUCCAGGCUGCUUUCCCAGAAAGGAUGUUUUCCGCAGGGUAGAUCAAUAUUCCCUCCCACUAUAGGGAGAGUCAGGGAGAUAACCCGAGAACGGCAGGUACACACCCAGGGCUGGGUGUGCACACCCGGGGCAUGCACGUGCCACGAGGGACACUGCGGGCACUCGGGACACCGCCAGGCGGCUGUAUAGGGCAGUGCCCUGCCCUGGGCGCCCACUGAGGGCGCGCGACACAGAUGCAGGGGGAGCGGGAGACAGAUGUCGCCGGGUUCCUGAGUUCCACCUGGGAGAGUGUCAGAGAAGAGAGAAAACCGAGCUGGGGUCUGCGAGAGGGGCAGGGGCUGAGAAAGCCCUCACACACACGGCCAUCAGCUGGGAUGGGAUGACAGGCUAAAGAAGGAACAGGGAACCAAAUCUGGCCCGUUUCCUUAGAACCCAGCCCAGGGCAGGAGCUAGGUCCACAGAGGGUCAGCGGGGGAGGCAGAGGGCUGCCCCUGGAGGCAGGUGUGAGGACCGGGCUGCCCCAGGGGCGCCCGGCUCUGCUCUGGGGCUGCAGGAAAUCUCUGUUGGGAAGAGCGGCUGGGGCCUGUGGUGGAGCAUGACAUGCAAGCUUCAAAGUUAAGUAAGUUCUUGGCAUAGAUUCGUGAAAGGAGAACCCGCCUGAAGUGUAAAGAGAGCAUCGGGGUGACUGGGGCAAAGCUGCUACCUUGGGGAGGGGAGGGGAUGGGGUGAGAUGAGACGGGAUACAUUGUUUCUGCCUCUAUUCCGUCUUUGUGCAUUUAUCGAGCAACUACUAUUUUCAAGGACCUGCCUGAGGUGCUUCGACUACAGAGAGGCACGAAAGAUCAUCUCAGCUCCCCCGGCACGUGGAUCCGCUGCGCCGCCAUGGAGUCCUGGGGGAGGGGCUGGAAUAAGCCCGGGGCUGUGCCCGCUGAUCACCUGAACGGUGGAGGUAUCCUUACUGUGGUGUAUCGACUGUGCAAGCUGUCUUUUUUGGAAAUGCAAAGAAACUGGUACCAUUUAUCUCUUGUAGCUGCUCCUGGCCUGUGGUAAUAGAACCCUGAGAUGUUUCUGUAUCAAGUUCUGGUCGGAAAACCCUCAUGUGACACAGGUUGUAUCAAACAGUUCACGGUCUAGAUGCCCCGCCUAAGCCGCGUUCCAGAGCCAGCAUCUGGGAGACGUGAACCUCGCCAACUCUGCCUUGUUGAUACAGAAAGUGGACGGAUGGUUACAUAACUUAGCCCCAGGAUGUAGCAGGAGAACUGAACAUGGAAUUCUCAAAAAGUGCAGUUUGAAGGCUGUGGAGAUCGAGGCAGCAGCUGACGUUUCUGCAGUCUCCGUGAGAACCGUUACCUCCCAGGCACCAUGGGAACUUCUGGGGAUCCAGAGACGAGUAACGCUUAGUCCCUUUCCUUCCGGAGCUGAGGACUCAGCAAUGGAGGCAGUUGAGAAGAGAUGGGAGCCUCACAUCUAUUAUUGCAACCCACAAAAAUUCCUCAGUCAUGUUUCCCAGGGAGGGGUAUUUUCAGUAGUACAUGGAGGUGAUAGUGGUAGAGACCGUCCCUCGCAUGCAAUUUCAAAAUGCACAUUGCAGAUGGAGGCAGAUGAGGAAAGACGGUGGACAAGCUGCGAUUUGGAGACUACUGACAAGAUUUAGACUGAAAAGCCUUGCCACUGGGAGAAAUUUGCAAGGUUAGAACAUCCAAUUGGAAAACAGGGGGAAUCUUGGAUUCAGAGAAAAGGCAAAAUUGUUUUAACUGGAGAAGGAGACGAGUCUGUCCCCGCGGCAAGCACUGCAGCACCGAGUCUCUGCAUAGCGACAGUUUACGGGGACUUACGCCUGCAGGGCUGCACGCAUGUAUUUGUACAUGCAUAUUUAUAAGGCCUCCCAAAGAAGCUGGAAGCAGAGCCGUGUGACAAGAGAGGGUCCUACUCAGAAAGAGUGACUCCUGCACCCCUGGGUGGGAAGGGGCUCCGGCAAUCACAGACACGAGACCCUCUGUUUUCCUGGGGAAGACCAAGGCUGCGCUGUGCUUAGCAUCUCUUAGAAGCUCUAAGAGCCACUGUGUGUGUGGUUCCAAAGACAGCACAUGAGGAAAUGGAAACCCACUUUCAAGGGAUGCCAUUUCACCAAGCUGGACGUGUGUUCCUUUUGUGCUCAUUGUUUUGAAGGAAUGGAAAUUAGCAGCCAAGGUGAAGGGCUGCGGUGGUUGCAGACAGAAACACAGGCUCUUGAACUCAGCGUUUCACUAGAGAAAAAUGCUAGACUGUGAAAACCCCUUUUUAAAAACAUCGAUACCUGCUAUUUAUAGGGCCCGGAAAAUUGGUUUGAAGUCAAAAGCAAUCAUAGAGAAGGCCUUAAAACUCUGCACAUGCAAAAUCAACUUACAAAGAUCUUUAAAAACAUGAGGUCAAAGGUUCAGGAACCGACACGCGAGUCUGUCAUCUCCAGUCAGUCUUGUGCACUUGGAGGAAAGUAUGCAAAGUGACCACCAGACGUGGUUUUCAUGACAGCUUCUACAUUCUGAUCCAUUGGAGCCUGCACUGUUUGGCUGAGAUAGAUUUCUAGAGUUUUGUCUGAUGAUUUCUUUUGAGCCUUUUCCUUCAGAGGUUGUUACAAGACAAUGAGUGUAUCUCCCUGGGCUCUACAGCAGGUCCUUGCUUCAGGGUUUGUCUUAUCCAGAGGUGCCUGCUGUGAAUAUGCUUCACAUGAAUCCUUCCUAUGGAACUGAGAACAGGAAUCGAUUCUCAUCAGACACAGCUGGGGCAUCGGUGGCGCAGAGGUCACCCCACAUGUCUCCCGCUUCUCAGGUUUUCCACCUGAGCCUCAAUAACUCUCAGCAGAUGGCUCUGCCCAGAAUCCGCCGAGAUAGAUACACUCUCCGCGUGGUCUGCUCCUUUCCCUUCUCCUCCGUCGACCUUGGUCUUUCUCACCUUCACCCUCUCCGCCUGGCUGGGGACACACCCCUCUCCCGUUCACACCGGCCCCAUCCUCAGCCUUCCCUCCAAGCCUGCUGUGUGCAAAGAUGACCUCCCCUUCGCAGCCACCUCUCAGGGCUGAACUUGAGCCUGACUUCCACCCCUGAGCCAGAUUGUAAGCUGUGCCACUCACUAGCCUCCCGUGCACUUUCCUCCUCUCUUUUCAGUCUCUCUUCCUUCGGCCUUGCCCUCACAUCCUACCUUGAGGUCAAAAGGCCAGCAGCUGCCCCAUCACUGCUGAGACUUCUCUCGGACUGAAUCCAGGGGAUCCUUCUGUCCUAGGGGAACCUUCCCCCUCCGAGGCUGGGCCACCCCCUCGGUCUGCCUUGAGGCCCCAUGAGCCAUGACCCCCAGCUGUCUCUGGGAUAAUCAUCACUGAUGGGGUUGCUUCCUCCCAUCAGAGAGCUCACAGCUUAGAGAGAGAGUGACAGAGAGAGAGAGAAGGAGAGCAUGUCCCCCUUAAACCCCAAUGUGACUUAGUACAGAAGCCAUGGUCCAGCCUGACCAAUGACAACUGUGUGAAUGUCUGGUCAACAAGGAGAAGAGCACCUCCCCUCCUAACACCCAAGAAGAAGCUCCUUUGAAGACAUUGAACUCAAGGAAUAGGAUUAAGUGAGUGUUUACCCAGUUCCCUGCUAGGAGCACGUGGAAUGCUGACCUAAGACCAGAAAAUGCCAGAAACCCCCGUUCAGGGCGACUCAUUGGGUGGGAAGUCUUCAGAUACCCAUGCCUCCAAACAGGAUAUGCGAGAGCGUGCUAUCUUCUAGCGUUUGUAAUUUGAAGACAGAUCUUCAUUUCAGCCAUAUUUAUAAAGUUGAAGAUUCCAGGAAUUUUGAGGUGGGCUUUGGGGACAGUUUCUUGCUCCUUUUCACUUGGGGGUGGGUCUCUGCUGAGGUUGCCACUUCUGCAAACAUCUGUGCCUGAAAGUGAAACAAAACUCUAGUUUCCCAAGAGCCAGGCAAGCCCAUGAGUCUCCCUGGUGUCUGCUGAACGCUGAACAUGAAGUUCCACAGUUGGGGUUAAUGUUUAAGCAGACUUGGGGGAACUGAGCAAAGUUUUUGCUUUUUACUCCUUCUUCUUUGACACCAGACCCCAGGAAGCUCCCCGGCCCCAAGGGGUGUCAGGGGAGCUGGUGCUGGGAGACCCGCCUCCAUCAUCGGGUUAUGGUAGCUCUCAUCAGUGGUAAAGGCCAAGGGAUUGGGUCCCCCACCAGGUGACUUUAGGGAAAAGAAGAGGUGGAGGAGUGGCCGAUGGACAUGAGUUGCUGCCCUUGGGGUCCAGCAACCCUGCCUGGCAGUAGAACCAGACCAAGGAUCUCACCCUUCAGAUACAGCUUCAUCCAAGUGUGGUGUGAGGUUGGGUGGCUCACAACAUGUGUGUGUGUGUGUGUGUGAGAGAGAGAGAGAGAGAGGGAAGGAGAGAGAACUUAGAGCCAAGGUUCUCCCCUUCAGGCAGACCCAGAGGAAGCGCCCCCAUCUCAGAUCACAUGGAGGUAAGGAUGAGGGGAUAAGAAGGUAAACACAAGAGCUGAAUGAUCCCUAAACACCUUAUCCUGCCCUCAGGGAGCUUGGAAUCGAGACAGGAGUAGCAUUCAUUCCACAAAAUCCAUCAUUCAUAAUAUUAACACAGACUUGCUUUAGACGUGAGUCAGAUGGAAGGGAAACACUGAGUUGGUGUUUGGAGCAGAGUCUUGUCCUGGAGGCAAGAUGUUAAUUAAAAUAUGAGAGAUGAUUCCAGCUCAAUAAACAGAGAGCAAGGCAUUUUGGAUGGGAGCGCCUAAAGCAGUAUUAAAUAUCUGAUCUUUUACCUGCUCCCUCAACAGAUUCUUUGAUUUGGGGGUUCAGGUUGUGACAACAACCUGCUAAUUUCACAUAAAACACGUGUUCCUAUUUUAGAGACAAAAACAGGGGUUUUACAGAAGCAAGUCGGGCACCAGAUGCUGGUCCUCCUCCAUUCAUGGUCCUGAAGUUUAGAACUUGUUGCGAUCGAUGCUGUUGGCUGAUGCACAAACAAUAAAUCAUUUUUCUUUGGCCCCUGUCGUUCCUGAAGGGAAAGCUAGAAUUAGACAUAUGAAGAUAAAAAUUCCUCAGGCGGAAUGUUGUUAGGAGAUUGAAAGUCCAAAGAGUUCUCAUCACAAAGAGCCGUUUCUCUCCCCUUUCUUUUUGGCGUAGGCACAGAUGAGGAGAGAGGUAAACUGGAUCUAAUCUGUCCCUCUCCCCCCUUGCCCCCCCCUCCCCCCCGUCGCCGUGAGUCUGUCUUCAGUCUGUGCGUCUGUUUGUUUUGUAAAUCAGCUCGUGUGCAUCCUUUUCUCAGAUUCCCGGUCAGUGGGGUUUCAUGUGAAAGCAGAGGGAAGCCACUCAGUGUUCCCUUUGGGGCGUUGACUUGUCUCUCUUGCUCAAUUGUAACCGCGCGAUGCUAGAAACCUGGAUGAACGUGGCUUUGCCUUCCUAAUAGCAGCAGAUGCUGUGAUUCGUCAGCUGCACAUUUGCUAACGAGAGUGUCCGCCUCCUGAGGGUUUCUCUCAAGCUUUGCCCCCAACUUGAAAGGCCCUUGAGCUGCAGGAAGAAGGUACUGUUACCUUUGUUCCCUCACCCUCGGUAUGUUUUACAAUGGGAGGCAAAUACUUCACCCAGUGUCAACGCGUGUAUAUUUGUGGAAGGACGAAUGACUCCGCAGAGCACAUUUCCUCCCUUUUGAAGUGUUUGGGUUGUUUUCUCUUGUUCCCUUCGGGCUUUUCCGGAUAUCACUGUGAUGCUGCUGAAUGUUUCCUGGAGCCCUUGGCUGUCAUUUCACAGAGGAAAACAAAUGGAGAGACCUCGGGGUGACCGUCUCUGUGUCCUGCACAGGGAAGCGAUCGUUCUGGAAGCUUGCCCUCCUGGUCCUGCAGACACCAGACCCAGCCGGGAGUGUUUCAUCUCGUCUCGUGGCUCAUGAUGUGAACCAGACAGACCUCUCCUCCUGUCCUCCUUGCUUAUCCUCGCCUCAGCCACCUUUAUUUAUGACUUUUUAUACCAGACAAUUGGGCUUCCCUGGUGGUUCAGCUGGUAAGGAAUCCGCCUGCACUGCGGGAGACCUGGGUUCGAUCCCUGGGUCGGGAAUAUCCCCUGGAGGAAGAAAUGGCAACCCAGCCCAGUAUUCUUGUCUGGAGAACCCCGUGGACCGAGGAGCCUGGCAGGCUGCAGUCCACGGGGCCACAAUGAGUUGGACAUGACUGAGUAACUAAGCACAGCACCGCAUACCAGACAAUCAUUAGCCACUGUCUCCUUCCAGGAAAUGUACCUUAAAAGCAGAAAUGCUCACAUUUCUCCUGAUGUUAUAUAUAUAUAUGGUUUCUCAAAGGAUUUCUUGAUGAAUAUCUCCUUUUAUAAAUUCAUUGAAUUAACAAUUAGGCAUAUAAAUGGAUUGGAUAAAGAAUUCUCUUGAAGCCCUUUC